rnacentral:lncRNA from 1 species
GGGAGGGCAGGCCUUUCUGGGCUCCCCACCAGCUCCCCUCAAUCCCUGUGUGUGGUCCACAGGCAGGACCCCCAUUUGGGCUCUGUUUAUGUGUGAUUACAAUCUGUGGUCUGUCUCUCCCAUAGGUGCUAAGUUCCCUGGACGGGAACCCAUCUGUUGUAUGGGUGGCUGUGUCCUCAGCUCUUAGAAUGGCACUGGGCACAUAGCAGUCCCCUUUUAUUCAACUCCUGGAUGUUUCUGAAGCCUCACUGCAAGAACAGAGUGAAAGGGAGCUGCAGAGGAGAUGGGGGGCAGGGCCCAGCCCUGGGCAGCCCCCGGGAGUCCUGCAAGCCAGGGGCACAGCUUGAACACUUAGCCUGACUGUUCACCAUUUUGCCGCAGCUUC